CGCACAUUGCGCCCUUUGGUAUUCCGAGGGGCAUGCCUGUCUGAGCGUCAGUGAAUUAUCAUCAGAUACAAUAUAUUGUGUACAGAUGUAUUGUGUACUGAUGGAAGUGAGUGUGGGAAAUCAUUUCCCUCAUUUGAAAUGAAUCCAGGACUAUUGGUGUAAUAAGAAUUUGAGUAUUUUUUUCGCCUCACAUAGUCUAUAUCACACAUGUUCUCACAAACGAGACAAAAAUCUUGACCUCAGAUCAGGUAGGGUUACCCGCUGAACUUAA
rnacentral:misc_RNA from 1 species